rnacentral:rRNA from 1 species
CCUACGGGUGGCAGCAGUGGGGGAUAUUGCACAAUGGGGGAAACCCUGAUGCAGCGACGCCGCGUGGGCGAAGAAGUUUUUCGGUAUGUAAAGCCCUAUCAGCAGGGAAGAAGAAAUGCAGGUACCUGAGAAAGAAGCACCGGAUAAAUACGUGCCAGCAGCCGCGGUAAUACGUAGGGGGCAAGCGUUAUCCGGAUUUACGGGGUGUAAAGGGAGCGCAGGCGGCACGGCAAGUCUGAUGUGAAAGCCCGCGGCCCAACCGAGGGACUGCAUUGGAAACUACCGGGCUGGAGUGCCGGAGAGGUAGGCGGAAUUCCUAGUGUAGCGGUGAAAUGCGUAGAUAUUAGGAGGAACACCGGUGGCGAAGGCGGCCUACUGGACGGUGACUGACGCUGAGGCUCGAAAGCGUGGGGAGCAAACAGGAUUAGAUACCCCGGUAGUC